UACGAAGGGGGCUAGCGUUGCUCGGAAUCACUGGGCGUAAAGGGUGCGUAGGCGGGUCUUUAAGUCAGGGGUGAAAUCCUGGAGCUCAACUCCAGAACUGCCUUUGAUACUGAGGAUCUUGAGUUCGGGAGAGGUGAGUGGAACUGCGAGUGUAGAGGUGAAAUUCGUAGAUAUUCGCAAGAACACCAGUGGCGAAGGCGGCUCACUGGCCCGGUACUGACGCUGAGGCGCGAAAGCGUGGGGAGCAAACAGG
rnacentral:rRNA from 1 species